rnacentral:rRNA from 1 species
AUACGUACUGCGCAAACGUUAUUCGGAAUCACUGGGCUUACAGGGUGCGUAGGCGGUUCGCCAGGUCAGAUGUGAAAUCCCACAGCUCAACUGUGGAUCUGCAUUCGAAACCUGCGAACUUGAGUGAACUAGAGGCAUACGGAACUUCAGGUGGAGCGGUGAAAUGUGUUGAGAUCUGAAGGAACACCAGAGGCGAAGGCGGUAUGCUGGAGUUUGUCUGACGCUGAGGCACGAAAGCCAGGGGAGCGAACGGAAUUAGAAACCCUAGUAGUCC